rnacentral:misc_RNA from 1 species
UCCGAGUUGACCCCGGCAGUCUCCUGUGAGUCCCCAUCACCCCGCAUGUCAAGCCCUGGUAAGGUUCUUCGCGUUGCGUCGAAUUAAGCCACAUGCUCCGCCGCUUGUGCGGGCCCCCGUCAAUUCCUUUGAGUUUUAGCCUUGCGGCCGUACUCCCCAGGCGGGGUGCUUAAUGCGUUAGCUUCGGCACGGAAGGGGUCGAUAUCCCCCCACACCUAGCACCCAUCGUUUACGGCUGGGACUAC